UCGAGCGAGUCUGCCUUGAAGAUCGGAGUGCUUGCACUCUGUGAAACAAGAUACAGGCUAGCGGCGGACGGGUGAGUAACACGUGGGUAACCUGCCCAAGAGAUCGGGAUAACACCUGGAAACAGAUGCUAAUACCGGAUAACAACAGAUGAUGCCUAUCAACUGUUUAAAAGAUGGUUCUGCUAUCACUCUUGGAUGGACCUGCGGUGCAUUAGCUAGUUGGUAGGGUAACGGCCUACCAAGGCGAUGAUGCAUAGCCGAGUUGAGAGACUGAUCGGCCACAUUGGGACUGAGACACGGCCCAAACUCCUACGGGAGGCAGCAGUAGGGAAUCUUCCACAAUGGACGCAAGUCUGAUGGAGCAACGCCGCGUGAGUGAAGAAGGGUUUCGGCUCGUAAAGCUCUGUUGUUGGUGAAGAAGGACAGGGGUAGUAACUGACCUUUGUUUGACGGUAAUCAAUUAGAAAGUCACGGCUAACUACGUGCCAGCAGCCGCGGUAAUACGUAGGUGGCAAGCGUUGUCCGGAUUUAUUGGGCGUAAAGCGAGUGCAGGCGGCUCGAUAAGUCUGAUGUGAAAGCCUUCGGCUCAACCGGAGAAUUGCAUCAGAAACUGUCGAGCUUGAGUACAGAAGAGGAGAGUGGAACUCCAUGUGUAGCGGUGAAAUGCGUAGAUAUAUGGAAGAACACCGGUGGCGAAGGCGGCUCUCUGGUCUGUUACNGACGC
rnacentral:rRNA from 1 species